GUAGGGAAUAUUGGGCAAUGGUCGGAAGACUGACCCAGCCAUGCCGCGUGCAGGAAGACGGCCCUCUGGGUUGUAAACUGCUUUUAUCUGGGAAGAAAAAGGCCAUGCGUGGCAAAUUGCCGGUACCAGAUGAAUAAGCACCGACUAACUCCGUGCCAGCAGCCGCGGUAAUACGGAGGGUGCGAGCGUUGUCCGGAUUUAUUGGGUUUAAAGGGUGCGUAGGCGGCUGAUUAAGUCAGCGGUGAAAGACUUCGGCUUAACCGGAGCAGUGCCGUUGAUACUGGUUGGCUUGAGUGUCGGAGGGGUACAUGGAAUUGAUGGUGUAGCGGUGAAAUGCAUAGAUACCAUCAGGAACACCGAUAGCGAAGGCAUUGUACUGGCCGACAACUGACGCUGAUGCACGAAAGUGUGGGGAUCGAACAGGAUUAGAUACCCGGGUAGUCC
rnacentral:rRNA from 1 species